rnacentral:rRNA from 1 species
AUGAACGCUGGCGGCGUGCCUAAUACCUGCCAGUCGAGCGCACGGACGAGAAGCUUGCUUCUCUGAUGUUAGCGGCGGACGGGUGAGUAACACGUGGAUAACCUACCUAUAAGACUGGGAUAACUUCGGGAAACCGGAUCUAAUACCGGAUGAUAUUUUGAACCGCAUGGUUCAAAAGUGAAAGACGGUCUUGCUGUCACUUAUAGAUGGAUCCGCGCUGCAUUAGCUAGUUGGUAAGGUAACGGCUUACCAAGGCAACGAUGCAUAGCCGACCUGAGAGGGUGGUCGGCCACACUGGAACGGGAACACGGUCCAGGCUCCUACGGGAGGCAGCAGUAGGGAAUCUUCCGCAAUGGGGGAAAGCCUUACGGAGCAACGCCGCGUGAGUGAUGAAGGUCUUCGGAUCGUAAAACUCUGUUAUUAGGGAAGAACAUAUGUGUAAGUAACUGUGCACAUCUUGACGGUACCUAAUCAGAAAGCCACGGCUAACUACGUG